rnacentral:rRNA from 1 species
AGCUCCAAUAGCGUAUAUUAAAGUUGUUGCAGUUAAAACGCUCGUAGUCGGAUUUCGGGGCGGUCUCGCCGGUCUGCCGAUGGGUAUGCACUGGCAGGGCCGUCCUUCCUUCCGGAGACUGCGCCUACUCUUAGCUGAGCGGGUGCGGGAGACGGAUCGUUUACUUUGAAAAAAUCAGAGUGUUUCAAGCAGGCAGCUCGCUUUUGCAUGGAUUAGCAUGGGAUAAUGAAAUAGGACUUUGGUGCUAUUUUGUUGGUUUCGAACACCGAAGUAAUGAUUAACAGGGACAGUCAGGGGCACUCGUAUUCCGCCGAGAGAGGUGAAAUUCUCAGACCAGCGGAAGACGAACCACUGCGAAAGCAUUUGCCAGGGAUGUUUUCA